UAGAGUUUGAUCCUGGCUCAGGACGAACGCUGGCGGCGUGCUUAACACAUGCAAGUCGAGCGAGGCCCUCCUCUUCGGAGGGGGUGUCCUAGCGGCGAACGGGUGAGUAACACGUGGGCAACCUGCCCUCAGCAUUGGGAUAACUCCGGGAAACCGGGGCUAAUACCGAAUACGACCUCUUCGGGCAUCCGUGGAGGUGGAAAGCGUUAGUGGCUGAGGAUGGGCCCGCGGCCUAUCAGCUUGUUGGUGGGGUCAUGGCCUACCAAGGCGACGACGGGUAGCCGGCCUGAGAGGGCGACCGGCCACACUGGGACUGAGACACGGCCCAGACUCCUACGGGAGGCAGCAGUGGGGAAUAUUGCGCAAUGGGCGCAAGCCUGAUCCAGCCACGCCGCGUGAGUGAUGAAGGCCUUCGGGUCGUAAAGCUCUGUGGGGAGGGACGAACCGCUGCUGGUUCAUAUCCAGCAGCAUGACGGUACCUCCUUAGCAAGCACCGGCUAACUUCGUGCCAGCAGCCGCGGUACGC
rnacentral:rRNA from 1 species